UACGGGGGGGGCAAGCGUUGUUCGGAAUUACUGGGCGUAAAGGGCUCGUAGGCGGCCAACUAAGUCGGAUGUGAAAUCCCCAGGCUUAACCUGGGAACUGCAUCCGAUACUGGAUGGCUUGAAUCCGGGAGAGGGAUGCAGAAUUCCAGGUGUAGCGGUGAAAUGCGUAGAUAUCUGGAGGGAUACCGGUGGCGAAGGCGGGCUACUGGGCCGAUACUGACGCUGAGGCGCGAAAGCCAGGGGAGCAAACGGG
rnacentral:rRNA from 1 species